AACGAACGCUGGCGGCAUGCCUAACACAUGCAAGUCGAACGAAGCCUUCGGGCUUAGUGGCGCACGGGUGCGUAACGCGUGGGAAUCUGCCCUUGGGUUCGGAAUAACAGUUAGAAAUGACUGCUAAUACCGGAUGAUGUCUUCGGACCAAAGAUUUAUCGCCCAAGGAUGAGCCCGCGUAGGAUUAGGUAGUUGGUGGUGUAAUGGCCCACCAAGUCGACGAUCCUUAGCUGGUCCGAGAGGAUGCUCGGCCACACUGGGACUGAGUCACGGCCCAGACUCCUACAGGAGGCAGCAGUGUGGAAUAUUGGACUAUGGGCGAAGGCCUGAUCCAGCAAUGCCGCGUGAGUGAUGAAGGCCUUAGGGUUGUAAAGCUCUUUUACCAGGGAUGAUAAUGACAGUACCUGGCGAAUAAGCUCCGGCUAACUCCGUGCCAGCCGCCGCGGUAAAAC
rnacentral:rRNA from 1 species